rnacentral:rRNA from 1 species
AUUGAACGCUGGCGGAAUGCUUUACGCAUGCAAGUCGAACGGUAGAGGGGGCAACCCCUCGAGAGUGGCGAACGGGUGAGUAAUAUAUCGGAACGUGCCCAGUCGUUGGGGAUAACGUAGCGAAAGUUACGCUAAUACCGCAUACGAACUAAGGAUAAAAGCGAGGGAUCGCAAGUACUCGCGCGAUUGGAGCUGCGGAUAUCAUAUUAGGUGGGUGGUGGGGUAAAUGUUCACAAAGGUAACGAUCUGUAGCGGGUAUGAGAGGACGACCAGCCAAACUGGAUCUGAGACACGGUACAGACUCCUACGGGAGGCCGCAGUGGGGAAUUUUGGACAAGGGACGAAAGUCUGAUCCAGCCAUUCCGCGUGCAGGAUGAAGGCCCUCGGGUUGUAAACUGCUUUUGUACGGAACGAAAAGGUCUCUCUUAAUACGGGGGGCUCAUGACGGUACCGUAAGAAUAAGCACCGGCUAACUACGUGCCAGCCGCCGCCGUAA